rnacentral:lncRNA from 1 species
CCAGUGUUUAACUGUUCCUACUGUGAAUUUUUUCCAGCUGGAAUUUCCCUUUUUGAUGCUUGUCUUACCUCUAAUUCUUUUUCUGUGUGUCUUCAGGAAGAGUCAGCUUCAUCUUCUCUGCAACGACACAUUAGGUAACUGAAGACAGCAACAGGAUUUGCACUUAUUCUUCUCUUCUCCAGGCUCAACAAAGCCAGUUGUCUCAGCCCCUUCUCAUAUGCCGUGUGCUCUGGCCCCUGACCAUCUUGGCAGCCUUCUGCUGAAGUGUCUCCAGUCAAUGUCUCCCUUGUACCAGGGAGACUCGGAUUUGGGCACAUUAUUUCAUGAGGUCUCAGGAGUGCCAAGUAGAAGGGAGCAGUCACUUCCUUGGCCUGUGGACUUCAGUCUUGCUAAUACAGCAUAGCAUGCAGCUGGCCAUCAUUGCCCCAGGGCAUGCUGCUGACUCACGUUCAAUGCGUCUGCGAGAACUCCCGGCUCCUUUGCUGCUGAGCCACUACCCAGCCAGUAAGCGCAUGUGCUCAGCAUCACAAUGCUGCUGUUGCUCUACUGUCAAACUAUAAGAUCUGGGCAGAAUUCAGUGCAUUGGACAAAGCAGCCUGUUUUCUAUAACAUCACUAAUGUGAUCAGCUUUCACUCUCGAGGCAGGAUCAUCUGCCAAAGACAUUCAGAUCUCUUUCUUCAAAACUCAGAAACUAUCCUGACAAAGUCAUCCUGAUCUUAGCUCACGAAUCCGUGCCUAACUCCCUAACAUUGAAAGAAGGCUAAGCUGAGAGACCACAUCCUUUCCUUUAUGAAUUCACUUUAGGUGAGCCAGGCUGAAAAAAUUCAGGUAAGAAAGCUAACUUCACUUUUCACUUUCCAUCGCUGUAUUUGUCCCCUGUGUGUACUUACAUUUAUUUCACUAGCACCUAUAAAAUCUAUUUUCCUCUUUUUAUGUUGUGCUAUGAGGGAUAUAAAUGGACUAGCACCCUUUUUUUUAAGCAUAUGCACAUUCUCAUUUUCUUUUCAGGUUUUUCUAAAGAAUAUUCACAUGGCUUUGACCGAGCUGAAGUCUUGAAAGUAACUGUAAGACUGAACUACCUGCAGCAAAUGUCUCCAUACAUGCCAUCUUUAAGGAGCAUGAACAGGCUUCUUAAGGCACCUAGAGCUGAAAAAAUACUGUUCAUCGGCACAGAGCUGCAGUUCAUGCUUCAUCCUCUGACAGCUCCUACUUGGGACCAACUUACGUGUGCACCAUCUUUGGCAAGGGGCUGAGCAUCCUCCAGCGCAAGGCAAAAGAAAGAGUGGAUUUCUCCAGUUGCUCUAAGCAAAAGUAGGGAACAGUGCCUUUUCUGAAAGCAGUACUCUCG